GAUGAACGCUGGCGGCGUGCCUAAUACAUGCAAGUCGAGCGAACAGACGAGGAGCUUGCUCCUCUGACGUUAGCGGCGGACGAGUGAGUAACACGUGGAUAACCUACCUAUAAGACUGGGAUAACUUCGGGAAACCGGAGCUAAUACCGGAUAAUAUAUUGAACCGCAUGGUUCAAUAGCGAAAGACGGUUUUGCUGUCACUUAUAGAUGGAUCCGCGCCGCAUUAGCUAGUUGGUAAGGUAACGGCUUACCAAGGCGACGAUGCGUAGCCGACCUGAGAGGGUGAUCGGCCACACUGGAACUGAGACACGGUCCAGACUCCUACGGGAGGCAGCAGUAGGGAAUCUUCCGCAAUGGGCGAAAGCCUGACGGAGCAACGCCGCGUGAGUGAUGAAGGUCUUCGGAUCGUAAAACUCUGUUAUUAGGGAAGAACAAAUGUGUAAGUAACUAUGCACGUCUUGACGGUACCUAAUCAGAAAGCCACGGCUAACUACGUG
rnacentral:rRNA from 1 species